UAUUGGAAUGGAGAAACUCUGAUCGCGACGCCGCGUGCGGGAUGAAGGCCUUCGGGUUGUAAACCGCUUUCAGCAGGGAAGAAGCGAAAGUGACGGUACCUGCAAAAGAAGCACCGGCUAACUAUGUGCCAGCAGCCGCGGUAAUACAUAGGGUGCAAGCGUUGUCCGGAAUUAUUGGGCGUAAAGAGCUCGUAGGUCGUUAAUCACGUCGGGUGUGAAAAUCUGGGGCUCAACCCCAGACCUGCACUCGAUACGGGUUAGCUAGAGUUUGGUAGGGGAGACUGGAAUUCCUGGUGUAGCGGUGGAAUGCGCAGAUAUCAGGAGGAACACCAAUGGCGAAGGCAGGUCUCUGGGCCAAUACUGACACUGAGGAGCGAAA
rnacentral:rRNA from 1 species